CCCUAUUCGCCUGGGAAUUACGAGCCUCAGCUUAAAACCCAAAGGACUUGGCGGUGCUUAAGACCCACCUAGAGGAGCCUGUUCUAUAACCGAUAAUCCCCGUUAAACCUCACCCUCUCUUGCUUUUCCCGUCUAUAUACCGCCGUCGUCAGCUUACCCCUAAGGGUUCAACAGUAAGCAAAAUUGGUCCCUCCCCAAAACGUCAGGUCGAGGUGUAGCGAAUGAGGGGGGAAGAAAUGGGCUACAUUCUCUAACCCUAGCCAGAUACGAAAAAUGAACUGAAAACACAUUUGAAGACGGAUUUAGAAGUAAAUAGAANNUA
rnacentral:rRNA from 1 species